UGGGGAAUAUUGCGCAAUGGGCGAAAGCCUGACGCAGCAACGCCGCGUGAGUGAUGAAGGCCUUCGGGUCGUAAAGCUCUGUCGGAGGGAACGAAUGCUCCUGAAGUUAACAGCCUCAGGAGGUGACGGUACCCUCAAAGGAAGCACCGGCUAACUCUGUGCCAGCAGCCGCGGUAAUACAGAGGGUGCAAGCGUUGUCCGGAUUUACUGGGCGUAAAGGGCGCGUAGGCGGUCUGUUAAGUGAGUACUAAAAUCUCCAGGGCUCAACCCGGAAACCGGUUCUCAUACUGACAGACUUGGGGAAGGCAGAGGUAACUGGAAUUCCUGGUGUAGCGGUGAAAUGCGUUGAUAUCAGGAGGAACUCCAAUGGCGAAGGCAGGUUACUGGGCCUUAUCUGACGCUGAGGCGCGAAAGCGUGGGUAGCAAACAGGAUUAGAUACCCCAGUAGUCCCUGAGCGGGCUGGCAAGGCGCAU
rnacentral:rRNA from 1 species